UUCUAAGAGCAGGAAUUGUGAUCAUUACAUUCUCUUUUCUUAUCUCAAACUGCAAUGCUUGCUUGAAACUCACAGAAACAGACACAACAUCAUACUUUAGCAAUAGAAAACAACAUAUGAGCAAAUUCAACUAUUGAGAUGGGUUGAGUAUCCAGGAGUUUGUUCUAUCUAGCUCACUCAGGAAACCGAAGACUUCAGAUCGAACAGCUUGAGUAGAAAGAAGGUCACCAUGGAUGAGAUGAAAGAUCACCAACACAAGGUUAGGAAGACUUCCUUUCUUGUGUUUUCUACACAAGCAUGAAAACCCAGACCCAACUCCUAUCUUCACAACGUUCCUGCACUUCUGGACCAACUUGAGAAACUGCAAGUCGCUUCUGGUGUGAGAGAAUUGGCCAUCUGCAAGCAU
rnacentral:lncRNA from 1 species